rnacentral:rRNA from 1 species
GAACGCUAGCGACAGGCUUAACACAUGCAAGUCGAGGGGCAGCACAGGUAGCAAUACCGGGUGGCGACCGGCGCACGGGUGAGUAACGCGUAUGCAACUUACCUAUCAGAGGGGGAUAACCCGGCGAAAGUCGGACUAAUACCGCAUGAAGCAGGGGCCCCGCAUGGGGAUAUUUGCUAAAGAUUCAUCGCUGAUAGAUAGGCAUGCGUUCCAUUAGGCAGUUGGUGGGGUAACGGCCCACCAAACCGACGAUGGAUAGGGGUUCUGAGAGGAAGGUCCCCCACAUUGGUACUGAGACACGGACCAAACUCCUACGGGAGGCAGCAGUGAGGAAUAUUGGUCAAUGGCCGAGAGGCUGAACCAGCCAAGUCGCGUGAGGGAUGAAGGUUCUAUGGAUCGUAAACCUCUUUUAUAAGGGAAUAAAGUGCGGGACGUGUCCCGUUUUGUAUGUACCUUAUGAAUAAGGAUCGGCUAACUCCGUGCCAGCAGCCGCGGUAAUACGGAGGAUCCGAGCGUUAUCCGGAUUUAUUGGGUUUAAAGGGUGCGUAGGCGGCCUUUUAAGUCAGCGGUGAAAGUCUGUGGCUCAACCAUAGAAUUGCCGUUGAAACUGGGGGGCUUGAGUAUGCUUGAGGCAGGCGGAAUGCGUGGUGUAGCGGUGAAAUGCAUAGAUAUCACGCAGAACCCCGAUUGCGAAGGCAGCCUGCCAAGCCAUGACUGACGCUGAUGCACGAAAGCGUGGGGAUCAAACAGGAUUAGAUACCCUGGUAGUCCACGCAGUAAACGAUGAUCACUAGCUGUUUGCGAUACACUGUAAGCGGCACAGCGAAAGCGUUAAGUGAUCCACCUGGGGAGUACGCCGGCAACGGUGAAACUCAAAGGAAUUGACGGGGGCCCGCACAAGCGGAGGAACAUGUGGUUUAAUUCGAUGAUACGCGAGGAACCUUACCCGGGUUUGAACGCAUUCGGACCGAGGUGGAAACACCUUUUCUAGCAAUAGCCGUUUGCGAGGUGCUGCAUGGUUGUCGUCAGCUCGUGCCGUGAGGUGUCGGCUUAAGUGCCAUAACGAGCGCAACCCUUGCCACUAGUUACUAACAGGUAAAGCUGAGGACUCUGGUGGGACUGCCAGCGUAAGCUGCGAGGAAGGCGGGGAUGACGUCAAAUCAGCACGGCCCUUACAUCCGGGGCGACACACGUGUUACAAUGGCGUGGACAAAGGGAGGCCACCUGGUGACAGGGAGCGAAUCCCCAAACCACGUCUCAGUUCGGAUCGGAGUCUGCAACCCGACUCCGUGAAGCUGGAUUCGCUAGUAAUCGCGCAUCAGCCAUGGCGCGGUGAAUACGUUCCCGGGCCUUGUACACACCGCCCGUCAAGCCAUGGGAGCCGGGGGUACCUGAAGUCCGUAACCGCGAGGAUCGGCCUAGGGUAAAACUGGUGACUGG